rnacentral:rRNA from 1 species
UACAGAGGUCUCGAGCGUUGUUCGGAUUCAUUGGGCGUAAAGGGCGCGUAGGCGGCGGGGUAAGUCUGGUGUGAAAUCUCGGAGCUCAACUCCGAAAUUGCACUGGAUACUGCUCUGCUAGAGGGCUGGAGAGGAGAUCGGAAUUCACGGUGUAGCAGUGAAAUGCGUAGAUAUCAGGAGGAACACCUAUGGCGAAGGCAGCUCGCUGGGACGGUAUUGACGCUGAGACGCGAAAGCGUGGGGAGCGAACAGG